CUGGGUUUCAUGCAUUUGCGGAUUUUAUGACCGAGGAUGUUGGGAGUUGGGACAUCGCUCUGUGGUGUUGGUAAAAAGUGAUGAAAUAAUUUUCCUUCCGCUAAAUGAAUCGGUGUUUGGAAUUAAACGGAAGAGUCAAUUCAUAGGUAUUAAGAACAUUUAGCUUUGUUAAAUGAUGAUCUUUGAGAGAAAUGAGGAAGAGGAACGGUGUUGGGCAAGCACAAAAAUGUCAAUAACUGAAAUUUUUGGUGGAUAGAGAUGAUCGAGGACCUCUCUUUCAGAUAUUCACCAAGCUUGUAACUUGUACAAUACAAACAUUACUUUUGAUAAUGAAGUAGGAGUUUGGCAUAGAACUGAGUGCUCAUUUGGCGCUUCCUUAUAAGAUAAUGGCGACUUUAGUGCAUGACUCAAAAGAAAUGAUGUAAAGUUUGUGGGAGAAAGCACUGAAGAAAGACAGUUGAAGGCAAGCAAGAAAGGUUAAGGAAUUUUCUUUGGUUUGUUGGGCUAGCGCCGCCAUGAAUUUUAUAAGUUAAAGGAGCAUGGUUGCCGUUUGAGAGCGGGAUCAAGAAACCUAGCCUAUUUGGCUCUUUUGAUAGUCCAAAGUCAG